GAUGAACGCUGGCGGUAUGCCUAACACAUGCAAGUCGUACGAGAGUUUUUAACUCUAGUGGCGGACGGGUGAGUAACACGUGAGAAUUUGCCUUUAGGAGGGGGAUAACAAUUGGAAACGAAUGCUAAUACCCCAUAUGCUUUUGAGUGAAAUGGAUUUUAUCCGCCUAGAGAGAAGCUCGCGGCUGAUUAGCUUGUUGGUAAGGUAAGAGCUUACCAAGGCGACGAUCAGUAUCUGGUUUGAGAGGACGAUCAGACACACUGGAACUGAGACACGGUCCAGACUCCUACGGGAGGCAGCAGUGGGGAAUUUUCCGCAAUGGGCGAAAGCCUGACGGAGCAAUACCGCGUGAGGGGAAGAAUGCCUAUGGGUUGUAAACCUCUUUUUCUAGGGAGGAAUAAAAUGACGUGUACCUGAAGAAUAAGCAUCGGCUAACUCCGUG
rnacentral:rRNA from 1 species